rnacentral:tRNA from 1 species
AGGGGCUUAGCCGUAGUGCCAAGAACAUAGAAGUUGUUGUAAGUAUGGGUCAAGCGAACCUUGACACGGUAGAGGUCAGGAGUUCGAGUCUCCUCGUGCCUACCA